UCUCUGUGCGUAUGUGCACAUUUAACAGCUUAAUAAUGAAGCAUUUUCUGACUUGCUUAUUACUAUUAUGGGUACCAAUCUGUGCCCAGUCUCAGAUCACUUUGGUCCAGUCUGGGAAUGGGCUUCUAAAACCAGCUGAGACUCUGGAACUCACCUGUAAAGUUAAUGGAUAUGUUAUCACAUCUGGCUACUGGUGGAGCUGGAUAAGACAGUCCAGUGGGAAAGGAUUGGAAUGGCUGGGACUUAUUAAAUCUGGUGGGGAAGUUGUGUACUCCUCAGCAAUUCAGAGCAGAAUUACUAUCACUAGAGACACUUCCAAAAAUCAGUAUUCUCUGAACCUGAAGAACAUGAAUCUAGAAGACUCAGCCACAUAUUACUGUGCUAGAGACACAGUGAGAGAAACAGUGGAGAAUGUGGUUAUAAACAUGAGCAAUGCUUUACUGUGA